AGUGAACGCUGGCGGUAUGCCUAACACAUGCAAGUCGAACGGCGGCACAGUAAGAGCUUGCUCUUACGGGUGGCGAGUGGCAGACGGGUGAGGAAGACAGCGGAACCUACUUUUUCGUGGGGGAUAACGAAGGGAAACUUACGCUAAUACAGCAUACGAUCUACGGGUGAAAGCAGUGGAGCUUCGGAACUUGCGCGAUUAAGUGAGCGGAUAUCGGAUUAGUUAGUAGGAGGGGGACAGGCCCACCAAGGCGACGAUCCGUAGCUGGUCUGAGAGGAUGAUCAGCCACACUGGAACUGAGACACGGUCCAGACUCCGACGGGAGGCAGCAGUGGGGAAUAUUGGACAAUGGGAGCAAGCCUGAUCCAGCCAUACCGCGUGGGUUAAGAAGGCCUUCGGGUUGUAAAGCACUAUUGUUGGGAAAGAAAAGCAGCAGGUUACUAACAAGCUGUUCUGACGGUACCUAAAGAAUAAGCACCGGCUAACUCCGUG
rnacentral:rRNA from 1 species